UUCUACCAUUUCUCAAUUCAACAUA
rnacentral:sRNA from 1 species